rnacentral:rRNA from 1 species
GACGAACGCUGGCGGCGUGCUUAACACAUGCAAGUCUUAGGAGAACGGGAAUCUUCGGAAUCCCUAGUAAACUGGCGAAAGGGUGCGUAACGCGUAGGCAACUUACCCUGCAGCGGGGAAUAACAUGGGGAAACUCAUGCUAAUACCGCAUAAUAUCCUGAAAACGCAUGUUUUCGGGAUCAAAGAACUUCGGUUCGCUGGAGGAUAGGCCUGCGUCUUAUUAGCUUGUUGGUAGGUAACGGCCUACCAAGGCAACGAUGAGUAGCUGGUCUGAGAGGAUGAUCAGCCACACUGGCACUGAGACACGGGCCAGACUCCUACGGGUGGCAG